rnacentral:tRNA from 1 species
CCAUCGGUGAUUCAGUUGUAGAAUGCUCGCCUGCCUCGCGGGAGGCCUGGGUUCGAUUCCCGGCCGAUGCA